AGCGGCAGGCUUAACACAUGCAAGUCGAGGGGUAACAGAGAUUGCUUGCAAUCCGCUGACGACCGGCGAACGGGUGCGUAACGCGUAUGCAACCUACCUUUUACAGGGGAAUAGCCCAAAGAAAUUUGGAAUAAUACCCCAUAAGAUCUUUAAUUGGCAUCAAUCAAAGAAGAAAACUCAGGUGGUAAAAGAUGGGCAUGCGUCCUAUUAGUUAGUUGGUAAGGUAACGGCUUACCAAGACUUCGAUAGGUAGGGGUCCUGAGAGGGAGAUCCCCCACACUGGUACUGAGACACGGACCAGACUCCUACGGGAGGCAGCAGUGAGGAAUAUUGGACAAUGGAGGCAACUCUGAUCCAGCCAUGCCGCGUGCAGGAAGACUGCCCUAUGGGUUGUAAACUGCUUUUAUACAGGAAGAAUUGCAUCUACGUGUAGUUGCUUGACGGUACUGUACGAAUAAGGAUCGGCUAACUCCGUGCCAGCAGCCGCGGUAAUACGGAGGAUCCAAGCGUUAUCCGGAAUUAUUGGGUUUAAAGGGUCCGUAGGCGGUUUUUUAAGUCAGAGGUGAAAUCCUGCAGCUCAACUGUAGCAUUGCCUUUGAUACUGAAAGACUUGAGUUAUUGUGAAGUAGUUAGAAUGUGUAGUGUAGCGGUGAAAUGCAUAGAUAUUACACAGAAUACCGAUUGCGAAAGCAGAUUACUAACAAUAUACUGACGCUCAUGGACGAAAGCGUGGGUAGCGAACAGGAUUAGAUACCCUGGUAGUCCACGCCGUAAACGAUGGAUACUAGCUGUUCGAUCAACAUUGGUUGAUUGAGUGGUUAAGCGAAAGUGAUAAGUAUCCCACCU
rnacentral:rRNA from 1 species